AGAGUUUGAUCAUGGCUCAGGACGAACGCUGGCGGCGCGCCUAAUCCAUGCAAGUCGAGCGACGCAUUCCUUAGCCCGUAAGGGCGGGUUUGACGGAGCGGCGAACGGGUGCGUAACACGUGACCAAUCUGCCCCGAAGACCGGGAUAGCCCGGGGAAACCCGGAUUAAUACCGGAUGAUCUCACCACCACGCAUGUGGAGGUGAGCAAAGGCUCAGGCGCUUCGGGAUGAGGUCGCGGCCCAUCAGCUUGUUGGUGAGGUAACGGCUCACCAAGGCAAUUACGGGUAGCUGGUCUGAGAGGACGAUCAGCCACACUGGAACUGAGAUACGGUCCAGACUCCUACGGGAGGCAGCAGGAGGGAAUCUUGCGCAAUGGGCGAAAGCCUGACGCAGCGACGCCGCGUGGGGGAUGAAUGCCUUAGGGUUGUAAACCCCUUUCACGAGGGAAGAAACUGACGGUACCUCGAGAAGAAGCCCCGGCCAACUACGUGCCAGCAGCCGCGGUAAUACGUAGGGGGCGAGCGUUGUCCGGAUUUAUUGGGCGUAAAGGGCUCGUAGGCGGCUUGGCAAGUCGGCCGUGAAAACCNAGGGCUCAACUCUGGGACGCCGGUCGAUACUGCCAUGGCUAGGGUCCGGUAGAGGGGAAUGGAAUUCCGGUGUAGCGGU
rnacentral:rRNA from 1 species